rnacentral:rRNA from 1 species
CCACGCAGUAAACGAUGAUUACUAGUUGUUUGCGAUACACAGUAAGCGACUGAGCGAAAGCAUUAAGUAAUCCACCUGGGGAGUACGUUCGCAAGAAUGAAACUCAAAGGAAUUGACGGGGGCCCGCACAAGCGGAGGAACAUGUGGUUUAAUUCGAUGAUACGCGAGGAACCUUACCCGGGAUUGAAAUGUAUAUGCAGGUACUGGAAACAGUGCUGUUUUUCGUAAGAAGACAUAUAUGUAGGUGCUGCAUGGUUGU